CAAGGGCAGGGUGGGAUAUCUCCUAGGAAAAUCCCUGACUGGCAGGCUGGACCUACAGCCGCAACCAGCAUUAUUAUUUUCUGAUAUAACAGAGUAUGUUCACACAGGGCAGGAAGCUCCUGCUUCUGGAAGUCCCUCCCAUCAGACUCCUAAAGGGCACUGAAGGAACCUCCCACCCACAGUGAGCAGAGCCCUCCCCAUACCUGCCAAGGUCUUGGCUGCAUUACAAAGCUCAUCUGUCUUCUUGCAGCAUUCCCCUAGCUCAUCCUUUAUCAUCCCCAAGAUCUGGAGACACAGAGAGGCAGACACGUCAGGCCGGUCAAACAUGAACUCCCCAUUGAUAUAUUCUGAGAAAAGAACUAUUCUCAAUAAUAUUACCUGGUUGUGUUCAACUGCCUACAAGUUUCUAAAAUCCUGCCUACCUCACUAACUCUCCAGCCUCCUCUGCUAGUGUUGCUUCCACCAUCCAUGAAGGUUCCACUAGUCAGAAAAAUGGGCAGUUUUACAAAUAUUUAACCUUGGUCCCCUUCAUAUUUUCUGUAUGCUGUUUUUCCUGCUUCUGGCUCUUCAGAUAACAUUCUACCAUAGAGAAUAUGCACAAAUUUUUCAAAAUUUACAUCACACACCUUUUCUGGGAACAUUCACUAAACCACCUUCCCUAUAUGAAAUCACUGUACUUUUAUGUGCAUAAAUUUGUAUCAAUGAUAUCAUACAUUUUCAAUAUUUGAAAUUUAUGGUUUGUGAAAUAUAACUCAAUAAAACUGUAAGAACUUGAAACUUGAAGUUUAACUUAAAUUGUUACAGAAUCUUGUUUAAAACUCAGGGCCUCCAAUGAAUUAGAAGCAGUGAAGAACAAUAGUGCUUCUCUCUAUGACUUUGUUUUAUUUUUCACCCACCCCUUCCUGAGGGCUCAGGCUUUGUUCCAAACUCACUGCCCAGACCCAGACCAGACAUACUUCCAGCAUCUGAAUCCUCUCAUUCAUCUUUCUCAGAAGGUCGUCUCUUUCUCUCAUUUCCUUUGUGAGUUUGUCUCUAAAUCUCUCGAACGUUUUUUCUCGGUCCUCCAACUUUUGCUGCAAUUCUUUAACCAUUUGCUCAAGAAGCUUCUUUUCCCACAUAGCAUCCUCCCAUUGGGCCAGCAUUUCUGCUCCCGGAAGAUUUUAGAGAGAGAAGAGAAGAAAACAACAGUCAGCACUGAGAGCUACAAGCCCACAACCAACAACCCUUGCUUUCUGAGUAACCAAACUGUCUGGGCAAAGCAGAUGGACAUGUCUAAAUUCACCUGUGACCACACAUAAGGGCAGGUGCGAGAAUGUGCUAGAAAAGGGGAUGAUUGGUUGGACCUCUAACCACAAUUCACCUUGUUAUUUUCAGAUGUAGCAGAGUGUGUUCACAGAAGGAGAGGAAGCUCUAUUUCUGGAAGUUCCUCCUGUUGGAGUCAUAGAGGGCACUGCAGGAACCCACCCUACCAUGAGCUGAGUCUACCCUAUACCUGCUGAGGUCUUUUCUCUUUCUCUUUGCUUCUCUGUCUUUUUGACUCCUAAUUCCUCAGAGACCCUUUCUUGGUCUUCCAGGAACAUUCCAUAAAGCACAUUCCCAAGUGAAAUCACUAUACAUACUUUGGUAAAUUUGUAUCAAUCAUACAUGUACAUUUAAUUAAAUAUAGUUGUACAUUCAAAUCCGUGAAAUCUAUGGCUUGUGAAUUACAUCUCUAUGAAACUGUUUAAAUAAACCUGAAUCUCUGCAUCUCAGAAAAAAAGUGCUGAAAUACUAUAAGACAUACUGGUAAGUAUCUUUAUUCCUUGAGUUUCUAGGUGAAAUGUAGGGAUUUUAAUAUAAUGUCUAUAGUUCCUCACAGCUGUAGCUUCCUCAGAUUCUAUCUAUAGUGCAUGAAUAACAG
rnacentral:lncRNA from 1 species